GACAGAGGUGCCGAGCGUUAGGCGGAAUCACUGGGCUUAAAGCGUGUGUAGGCGGAUCUGUAAGUACCUUGUGAAAUCCCACGGCUCAACCGUGGAACUGCUUGGUAUACUGCGGGUCUUGAGCCACCUAGGGGCAAGUGGAACAAACGGUGGAGCGGUGAAAUGCGUAGAUAUCGGAAGGAACGCCGGUGGCGAAAGCGAUCCGCUGGACCUCUUCUGACGCUGAGGCGCGAAAGCCAGGGGAGCAAACGGG
rnacentral:rRNA from 1 species